rnacentral:rRNA from 1 species
UGGGGAAUAUUGCACAAUGGGGGAAACCCUGAUGCAGCGACGCCGCGUGAACGAAGAAGGUAUUCGUAUCGUAAAGUUCUGUCCUAUGGGAAGAUAAUGACAGUACCAUAGAAGAAAGCUCCGGCUAAAUACGUGCCAGCAGCCGCGGUAAUACGUAUGGAGCGAGCGUUGUCCGGAAUUAUUGGGCGUAAAGGGUACGCAGGCGGUUUAAUAAGUCGAAUGUUAAAGAUCGGGGCUCAACCCCGCAAAGCAUUGGAAACUGAUAAACUUGGGUAGUGGAGAGGAAAGUGGAAUUCCUAGUGUAGUGGUGAAAUACGUAGAUAUUAGGAGGAAUACCAGUAGCGAAGGCGACUUUCUGGACACAAACUGACGCUGAGGUACGAAAGCGUGGGGAGCAAACAGG